ACGGCGGCUUAACACAUGCAAGUCGAGGGGUAACAGAGGAGCUUGCUUCUGCUGACGACCGGCGCACGGGUGCGUAACGCGUAUACAAUCUGCCUUGCACUAAGGGAUAGCCCAGAGAAAUUUGGAUUAAUACCUUAUGGUUUAUUGAGAUGGCAUCAUUUUAAUAAUAAAGAUUACGGUGUAAGAUGAGUAUGCGUACCAUUAGUUUGUUGGUAAGGUAACGGCUUACCAAGACUACGAUGGUUAGGGGCCCUGAGAGGGGGAUCCCCCACACUGGUACUGAGACACGGACCAGACUCCUACGGGAGGCAGCAGUGAGGAAUAUUGGACAAUGGAGGAGACUCUGAUCCAGCCAUGCCGCGUGCAGGAAGACGGUCCUAUGGAUUGUAAACUGCUUUUAUACAGGAAGAAUAAGGACUACGUGUAGUCUGGUGACGGUACUGUAAGAAUAAGGACCGGCUAACUCCGUGCCAGCAGCCGCGGUAAUACGGAGGGUCCGAGCGUUAUCCGGAAUUAUUGGGUUUAAAGGGUCCGUAGGCGGGCCAUUAAGUCAGGGGUGAAAGUUUGCAGCUCAACUGUAGAAUUGCCUUUGAUACUGAUGGUCUUGAAUUAUUGUGAAGUGGUUAGAAUAUGUAGUGUAGCGGUGAAAUGCAUAGAUAUUACAUAGAAUACCGAUUGCGAAGGCAGAUCACUAACAAUACAUUGACGCUGAUGGACGAAAGCGUGGGUAGCGAACAGGAUUAGAUACCCUGGUAGUCCACGCCGUAAACGAUGGAUACUAGCUGUGUGGUUUUCGGACUGCGCGGCCAAGCGAAAGUGAUAAGUAUCCCACCUGGGGAGUACGUUCGCAAGAAUGAAACUCAAAGGAAUUGACGGGGGCCCGCACAAGCGGUGGAGCAUGUGGUUUAAUUCGAUGAUACGCGAGGAACCUUACCAGGGCUUAAAUGUAGAUUGACAGGUUUAGAGAUAGACUUUCCUUCGGGCAUUUACAAGGUGCUGCAUGGUUGUC
rnacentral:rRNA from 1 species